rnacentral:lncRNA from 12 species
GCCUCCUGGGACCACCUGGCCACCCUCAGUGUGCCCAUGGCCCCCUCUGCCGUCUUGGCAUUUCCUUUCUGUGGGCCCUUCCUGGACAGAGAAGCAGGAGCAGCUCAGGUCACAGCUGGGUCACACCCAGGAGAUGCCUUGCACCCACCUAGUGCUCAGAGAAUGUUUGUUGCUUCAGAUUGGAAGGGAGUCAUUGGUGUGCUGGAGGGGUGGUGGUGCGGGGGGCGCUCACGCAGGCCCCUCAGGUUCAACCCAGAAGGAGCCAGGGCUGGGGUAUGUGCCUGACCCCGAGCCCUGGGUGCUUCUGAGUGGGGCAGGAGCUCCGGGUCCUCCAGGAUAGACAGGGCUUCCCCCUAAACCCGCACACGCCCGCAGGCAGGUGGGUGAUGGAUGCAGGGUGUGCAGGAGCCACGUAGGCAAGUUCUCUUCCUCCUGGCCACUUAGGUUUGAUUUGAAGGUUGGUUUCAGCCUGGCUGAGCCGGCCCAGGGCCCAGGCACCUCACAAGCAUCAUCUCCCAUCAAACAGCAUGAAUAAUUUAGUCUCUAAUUAAAAGUGAGGUCAAGCCAUGAAAAAUGGCUGGAUGUCCGGUGACACCAUGAUGCAUUAAAUUGCUGGCAGAGCUGAGGCAGGCGGGCAGGAAGCUCUGGUGUCAGCAUGGAGGCAGCGUGGUGGGGCACCCUGGGAGGAGGGUCUCCAAGUAAGGGCGAGGUUGCUGGGCAGACCCAGGGACACCCCCUUCCUGCCACCAUUGUCACCUGAGGGGCUCCCUGCCCUCCAACCACCCCCUUGCCCUCUUGCUUUCCCCAAACACACCAGAUCCAUCCUGCUGUGGGUCUGUGCAUGUGUUCUUUCUGGAAUAUUCUUCCCCCAAUACCUGGUUGGCUUCCUUCCUUGCUUUAUUCAGAUCUUGCUCAAAUGUCACCUUGCCUGUCCACACUGGCUAUGAUGCCAUCUGCCCACCCCACUGGCCCGUUUUCUUUGUCCCACUCCCUGCCUGGGUCUCUGGGCAGUACCUCUCACUGCUCGGUGUUCUAGUUUAUACUGAGUUGUCUAUCUCUCCAACUAGAGGGCCAAGGUCCCACGUGUCCCCAGCACCAAGGACAGCACCCAGCACACAGCCGGUGCAGUGGAGGCUGAGCACCACAGGGAUGUCCCUCCAGCCCAGAGCCCCCUGGAAACAGAGACAGAUGAGGGGCAGAGCUGAACCGCCAGCUUAUCUGCUUCUGUGUUCUCUCCCUCUCUCCUCUUGAUAUGAAACCGCUACUCCCGCGAUUAAAUGUCUCUCAGCCUAACACCUAUGGGACCUGGGGAGAAAGAGGAGAGAGGCGCCAACCUUGACCCUGUCAAAUAAAUAUCUCUAACUUUUCCUGUCCUCGGGCUCC